rnacentral:rRNA from 1 species
UACCUGCAGCUCAAGUGGUGACCGCUAUUAUUGGGCCUAAAACGUUCGUAGCCGGCUGAGUAAAUGCUUGGGUAAAUCGUGCCGCUUAACGGUACGAAUUCCGGGUAGACUGCUCAGCUUGAGACCGGGAGAAGCUAGAGGUACUCCUGGGGUAGAGGUGAAAUUCUGUAAUCCUGGGGGGACCACCAGUGGCGAAGGCGUCUAGCUAGAACGGGUCUGACGGUGAGGGACGAAACCCUGGGGCGCAAACCGGAUUAGAUACCCGGGUAGUCCAGGGCGCAAACGCUGCUUGCUUGAUGUUAGCUGGGCUCCGGGCUCAGCUAGUGUCGGAGAGAAGUUGUUAAGCAAGCUGCCUGGGAAGUACGAUCGCAAGAUUGAAACUUAAAGGAAUUGGCGGGGGAGCACAGCAACGGGUGGAGCGUGCGGUUU